rnacentral:rRNA from 1 species
UGCUUAACACAUGCAAGUCGAGCGGUAAGGCCCCUUCGGGGGUACACGAGCGGCGAACGGGUGAGUAACACGUGAGCAAUCUGCCCAUCACAUCGGGAUAACUCCGGGAAACCGAAGCUAAUACCGAAUACGACCACCUCCGGCAUCGGAUGGUGGUGGAAAGUUCCGGCGGUGAUGGAUGAGCUCGCGGCCUAUCAGCUUGUUGGUGGGGUAACGGCCUACCAAGGCUUCGACGGGUAGCCGGCCUGAGAGGGUGACCGGCCACACUGGGACUGAGACACGGCCCAGACUCCUACGGGAGGCAGCAGUGGGGAAUAUUGGACAAUGGGCGAAAGCCUGAUCCAGCAACGCCGCGUGAGGGAUGACGGCCUUCGGGUUGUAAACCUCUUUCAGCAGGGACGAAGCGCAAGUGACGGUACCUGCAGAAGAAGCACCGGCCAACUACGUGCCAGCAGCCGCGGUAAUACGUAGGGUGCGAGCGUUGUCCGGAAUUAUUGGGCGUAAAGGGCUCGUAGGCGGUUUGUCGCGUCGGGAGUGAAAACUCAGGGCUUAACCCUGAGCCUGCUUCCGAUACGGGCAGACUAGAGGUAUGCAGGGGAGAACGGAAUUCCUGGUGUAGCGGUGAAAUGCGCAGAUAUCAGGAGGAACACCGGUGGCGAAGGCGGUCCUCUGGGCAUUACCGACGCUAGGAGCGAAAGUGUGGGG